AUUUAGCCCUUAGUUAUAGAACACGAUAUGCAUGCUCAGACACAUUGGAGAUGGAAAUAUUACAAUCACUGCAAUUAAUAGUUCAGGUUCCAAUAAUCAUUUAAAGAUACAAUCAUUUUCAAAAUGACCUAGUACAACCAACUACAACAAGUACCAUGUAGAAUACAAUUAGAUUGUUCCAUUCUAGGGUUAUUUUUAUGUUGUAAAUUUAAAAGGCCAACAGUGCGUUAUGUCAAAAAUUAUAUUUUUCAUAUUUAGAAGAUGCACACAACAGAGCUGAGUACUAACAGUGGUAACCUGUUGGUCGUCUUACAUUUAAUAGCAGUUACACCCUCCCCUUAAAAAUUUUUCAAUGUACCAAAGAAAAAGGAAAAAGAAAGAGAGAGAGAAACAGGAUCUCAUAUGGUUUGUGCUAAUUCAACCCCUCAAGGAAUCAUAUCCAUAUAUAACUUAGGAAUGUUAAAGUGAAACACCAAUUAUUUCAAGAUUAUCUCAUUUGCUAGUUUCCAAAGAAAUCAAUAAAGGGUCCCAGAGAAUGAAACCAAAGCUUAAAUAAUUCCUGGCAAAACACUGAGUAUAUUACAUAACAGCAAUAAAACGUUCAUUUCAUACAACUAACAAAAAUAUAUAUAUA
rnacentral:misc_RNA from 1 species